AAUGAACGUUGGCGGCGUGGAUUAGGCAUGCAAGUCGAGCGAGAAUCCCUCGCAAGAGGGAGGGCAGCGGCAAACGGGGUAGUAACGGGUAGGUAACGUACCCUCGGGUCGGGGAUAGCCACGGGAAACUGUGGGUAAUACCCGAUAAUCUCUAGAAGCGUGAAGCUUUUGGACCAAAGGUGUGAUUCCACCGGAGGAGCGGCCUGCUUCGUAUUAGCUAGUUGGUGAGGUAACGGCUCACCAAGGCUUCGAUGCGUAGGGGGUGUGAGAGCAUGACCCCCACCACUGGGACUGAGAUACUGCCCAGACACCUACGGGUGGCUGCAGUCGAGAAUCUUCGGCAAUGGGCGCAAGCCUGACCGAGCGACGCCGCGUGUGGGAUGAAGGCCCUUGGGUUGUAAACCACUGUCAGAGGGGAUGAAGUACAGCGGAGUUAUCUCCGUUGUUUGACAUAGCCUCAGAGGAAGCACGGGCUAAGUUCGUGCCAGCCGCCGCAGUAAGAC
rnacentral:rRNA from 1 species